AGGAUAUAAAGAUGUUUAAUUGGAUAACCUUAUUCAUUCAGCUGUGAUCUGCAGAAGGAUCUGAGCAGGUGUGGAAAUCUGAAGUGUCCAUCGGGAAGUGCAGAGGAAGCAAUGUUGAUUCAAGUCCUUGGCCCAUUUUUCAAUCAGGAUAAAGGGAGAAAAAAGACAUACUUGGUUCCUGUUCUAAUGGAUCUUUUAUUCUAGUAACUGAGUCAGAUUAAAAUGAAGAUCC